rnacentral:rRNA from 1 species
UACGGGGGGGGCUAGCGUUGUUCGGAAUUAUUGGGCGUAAAGAGCUCGUAGGCGGUGUGUCGCGUCGGCCGUGAAAACCUGCAGCUUAACUGUGGGCUUGCGGUCGAUACGGGCAUCACUGGAGUUCGGCAGGGGAGACUGGAAUUCCUGGUGUAGCGGUGAAAUGCGCAGAUAUCAGGAGGAACACCGGUGGCGAAGGCGGGUCUCUGGGCCGAUACUGACGCUGAGGAGCGAAAGCGUGGGGAGCGAACAGG